AUUGAACGCUGGCGGCAGGCCUAACACAUGCAAGUCGAGCGGUAGCACAAGGGAGCUUGCUCCCUGGGUGACGAGCGGCGGACGGGUGAGUAAUGUCUGGGAAACUGCCUGAUGGAGGGGGAUAACUACUGGAAACGGUAGCUAAUACCGCAUAACGUCUUCGGACCAAAGAGGGGGACCUUCGGGCCUCUUGCCAUCGGAUGUGCCCAGAUGGGAUUAGCUGGUAGGUGAGGUAAAGGCUCACCUAGGCGACGAUCCCUAGCUGGUCUGAGAGGAUGACCAGCCACACUGGAACUGAGACACGGUCCAGACUCCUACGGGAGGCAGCAGUGGGGAAUAUUGCACAAUGGGCGCAAGCCUGAUGCAGCCAUGCCGCGUGUGUGAAGAAGGCCUUCGGGUUGUAAAGCACUUUCAGCGGGGAGGAAGGGGGUAAGGUUAAUACCUUUACCCAUUGACGUUACCCGCAGAAGAAGCACCGGCUAACUCCGUGCCAGCCGCCGCGGUAA
rnacentral:rRNA from 1 species